rnacentral:rRNA from 1 species
GACGAACGCUGGCGGCGUGCUUAACACAUGCAAGUCGAACGGGCCCGCUCUCUUUUUUGGGGGUGGGUUGAGUGGCGAACGGGUGAGCAUCACGUGAGUAACCUGCCCCCUGCUCCUGGAUAACUGCUUGAAAGGGCGGCUAAUACGGGGUGUGCCGGCUGGUCCGCAUGGGCCUGGUCGGGAUAGUUUCAUCUUCGGGUGUUUCGGUGGGGGAUGGGCUCGCGGCCUAUCAGCUUGUUGGUGGGGUGAUGGCCCACCAAGGCGGUGACGGGUAGCCGGCCUGAGAGGGUGGGCGGCCACACUGGGACUGAGACACGGCCCAGACUCCUGCGGGAGGCAGCAGUGGGGGGUAUUGCACAAUGGACGGAAGCCUGAUGCAGCGACGUCGCGUGAGGGAUGGAGGCCUUCGGGUUGUGAACCUCUUUCUCCGGUGGUGAAGGCCCUGUCCGUUGCGGCGGGGUUGACGGUAGCCGGGUAUGAAGCGCCGGCUAACUACGU